AAAAGAACUUUUUCACUAAAAAGCACUUUUCUCUUAAAAGGAACCAAGAACAACCUCCUUUUCUCUUACAAAUUUUCCAUCAGAAAAGUGCUUCUCUCUAGAUGGAGAAGCUAAAAUUUUCUCCUUUUCUUCAGCGUUAACUGCUUUUGGAUGAUUAUUGACCAAAUUCUACCCCAAACGUUUUUUUCCCCUCUGCUGGUUCCCCAAAUUUUCUUUCCCCUCUGCUGGUGAAAUUGGAGCUUUAUACCCAAUUUCUUUUCCCCAUUUUCGGCUUUUAAAGAUAUUUUCUAUUCUUUGUUCCUCUUCCGCAGUCUACAAAAUGGUCUGAAGGUUCUGGUGGGUGGGUGAGUCAGAUAAGUGGGGGUGGUGCUUUGCUUUAGUUACAUAUAAAGGCUUACAGUAGCUGGGAUCAAAGAGAUGCAGCCAAGCAUACACUCUAUUUAUGUUUGGUAAUUAAGUCUCAAAUUUAAGUUCAAAACAUCUUGAAGUGGUUCAACAUUUCAAUUCCUGUUUCUUCUUCCUGUUACAUUUGUGCAAGGCUUGACUCAACUAGAGCACUUAGACCAGCUAUCACGUAGAGUUCCAUUUCUUAAAGGAAUUUUAAAACAGGAGUUCAUACACCGGGUGGUAACAGGUUACUUACCAAGUGUGAUUCUAAUCUUAUUUCUGUAUGCUGUUCCACCAACCAUGAUGUUGUUUUCUGCAAUGGAGGGGAAUAUUUCACGUAGUCAGAGGAAACGGAGUGCUUGCAUCAAAGUUCUAUACUUCACAAUUUGGAAUGUUUUCUUUGUUAAUGUCCUUUCUGGAUCCAUCAUCAGGCAAUUGACUGUUUUCUCAAUUUUUAAAGAUGCACCUAAACAACUUGCCAGAGCAGUGCCAACCUAGGCUACCUUCUUCACGACUUACGUAUUAUCAUCAGGCUGGGCUAGCUUGUCCUGUGAAAUAAUGCAACCUUUCCCGCUUAUUUGCAGUUUUGUUAGAAAAUUCAUACUAAGAACCAAAGUAGAACCAUCUAGUUGUGCUCUAACCUUCCCUCACAUUUAUUGCUGCAACCGAUAGUCAAACUGUCCGUAGCUCAGUUUGGGGAGCACCCUACGAUCCAUCACUUGCUCAGAGGUAAACUAGGAGAAGCUGCCUUGAAAGCCUCGCGUUGACCCUGGAUUGUAGCUUUAUGGUGUUAAAGAUAUCAGCAGUUAAUAAAGCACCACAGAUUACAGUAUGGGCAUUCCAUAUUUUACCCUCAAAUUAGAAUCUUAGUAUCCAUUGCACGCUAAACUGUUCAAUUGAAACUAUGUUUGCUUUUAUAAUUCUAAGUAUUUUGUUUUAUAUUUUCAAACAUUUAAUCUAAAGGGUGAUGAAAUAGUUAGUUCGAUCCA